rnacentral:lncRNA from 1 species
AAACAGACCUGGAAUUUGUUUUUUUAAAUAUUUAUUUAUUUUUAGUUUUCAGCAGACACAACAUCUUUGUUUGUAUGUGGUGCUGAGGAUCGAACCCGGGCCACACACAUGCCAGGCGAGCGMGCUACCACUUGAGCCACAUCUCCAGCCCCCAGACCUGGAAUUUAAAUGUUCUGUGAUGAUAUGGUUUCCAAACGCCUCAUGUGAUGUCCAGAGUUCAGAGUUAUUCACCUCUGAAUACUCACUCAGCAAUGAAGAAAGUUAUGUGGUCAGCAGAAAUAACUAUCUUGACGUAGCAAUUCAGGGAACAUCUAUUUUAAAUCUGUCCCUUGGAAAUUUCACGAAUGAUUUAUCAAAGUCAUAUAUGAUCUAUAACUGUUUCCUUGAGAUAAAUUCUUAGGGGUAGAAUGGCAGGAUCAGAGAGUAUAAAAAGUGUGAGACUUGUAGGAAAGACGGUGGAAUGAGAUGGACAUCAUUACCCUAAGUACAUGUAUGAAGACACAAAUGGCGUGAUUCUACUUUGUGUACAACCAGAGAAAUGAAAAAUUGUGCUCUAUAUGUGUACUAUGAAUUGAAAUGCAUUCUGCUGUCAUGUAUAAUGAAUUAAAAUAAGUAAAUAAAUA